rnacentral:lncRNA from 1 species
CUGACUCACACAGAGGCAGCUUCCAGCCUUCCACAGUUCUUCCAAUUCGACACAGUUAUUUAUUUAUUUUUUUAAGGUCCAAACUCCUGUGCAGAGCAAGCAUCCAAAUGCUGUCAUCCUCUCAGCCCCAUGCUCUAGCUCAUUUUUCACACCACUGGAUUUAAUUUACUAUUAUCGUGCCUGGAAUGUGUUUGCAUCUGUAUUCUUGAGAGAUUGCUAUACAGCUCAUUUGAGGCCUCACAAGAUUAAAACUUGGUAAGAAAGUAGACACGGAAGUGUGUCUCUGUCCAGUUCCACCUAAACUGUGCUGGCAGAAACUUUGGCUCCUGCUGCUUAGCUCCUUCAGCGACCUGCGAGUCUGUCUCACGAAAAGAUACCGACCGCCAUCUUGAAUUUCUAAGCACUAAACACGAAGAGAUAUGCUUCAGACCCUCUGAGCCCCUUUGUCUGCGUGGAACGGGUCUCUAGUCGCGGGUGGACAAAGCGUAGGAUGAGUGACAAACAGACGCACACAGGAGAGGUCGAGGAAUCUGAAUGUCAUUUUUCAAAUCGAGCAUCAGACUUUUUAUGCAGAAGACAAUAAGGAAGUUGGAUGACAUACCUGCAAGCUUUCCCAGAUAUCUCUGAAGAUACCAUUUUGAAUAGGACUCACAUCACUCACUGCCUUGGUAGGGUCAUCUUUGUUCCACAAGAGGAAAACUGUCCACGAGAGGGUGGAGAUCACUCUGGCCAUGCAUAAUCAGAUUAACAUCAACGGUCCUUUACUCUGAAGAAGCCAUGGAGACCCCUCUUGCUGAUUAAGCCAGCUCAGGCUCCUGUGGAUGCUAUGGCCCUGGGCACUGAGCCCAGCAUCUGAACUUGUUCCUGGACCAGAGGUUCGAGAUGUCCACUUCUGAGGCCAUUUACUUCUUUGUGGGCCACCAGCUGUU